rnacentral:rRNA from 1 species
GUAGGUGGCAAGCGUUGUCCGGAAUUAUUGGGGCGUAAAGCGCGCGCAGGCGGUUCUUUAAGUCUGAUGUGAAAGCCCACGGGCUCAACCGUGGAGGGUCAUUGGAAACUGGAGAACUUGAGUACAGAAGAGGAAAGCGGAAUUCCACGUGUAGCGGUGAAAUGCGUAGAGAUGUGGAGGAACACCAGUGGCGAAGGCGGCUUUCUGGUCUGUAACUGACGCUGAGGCGCGAAAGCGUGGGGAGCAAACAGGAUUAGAUACCCUGGUGGUCCACGCCGUAAACGAUGAGUGCUAAGUGUUAGGGGGUUUCCGCCCCUUAGUGCUGCAGCUAACGCAUUAAGCACUCCGCCUGGGGAGUACGGCCGCAAGGCUG